rnacentral:rRNA from 1 species
AGUAACACGUAAACAACCUGCCUUCAGGAUGGGGACAACAGACGGAAACGACUGCUAAUACCGAAUAAGUUCCAAGAGCCGCAUGGCCCAUGGAAGAAAAAGUGGCCUCUACCUGUAAGCUAUCGCCUGAAGAGGGGUUUGCGUCUGAUUAGCUGGUUGGAGGGGUAACGGCCCACCAAGGCGACGAUCAGUAGCCGGUCUGAGAGGAUGAACGGCCACACUGGAACUGAGACACGGUCCAAACUCCUACGGGAGGCAGCAUG